rnacentral:rRNA from 1 species
AACUAACGCUGGCGGCGUGCCUAACACAUGCAAGUCGUACGAGAAAGUUGGCUUCGGCCGAUGAGUAAAGUGGCGCACGGGUGAGUAAUGCGUGGAUAAUCUGCCCUUUAGUUGGGAAUAACGUACCGAAAGGUGCGCUAAUACCUGAUAAUACUGCAUAACUGCUGUUGUGUAGUCAAAGAAGGCCUCUGUUUACAAGCUUUUGCUGAAGGAUGAGUCCGCGUACCAUUAGCUGGUUGGUGGGGUAAUGGCCUACCAAGGCUACGAUGGUUAGCUGGUCUGAGAGGAUGAUCAGCCACACUGGAACUGAGACACGGUCCAGACUCCUACGGGAGGCAGCAGUGAGGAAUAUUGCGCAAUGGGGGCAACCCUGACGCAGCAACGCCGCGUGAGUGAGGAAGGUUUUCGGACCGUAAAGCUCUGUCGAGCGGGAAGAAAUGUAUCAUGGCUAAUAUCCAUGAUACUUGACGGUACCGCUAAAGG